rnacentral:lncRNA from 1 species
CGUAGCAACAACACUCUUAUUUGAGUAUAGCCAAUUUGGAGUCUUAUAUAUACAGAAAAAUCAAUUACAUAUUUUGGUUCGGCCAAGUCACGGAUCAAGCCAUAUUUUGUUGUCUUAGAAUUAAAAGGAUCAAAAGUAAAAAAUAUUUGAUUAAAGUGUCCCACCAAGGCAUUCAUUUAUCUAUCUGCUUAGCGCUCAGCAGUAUUUUAUACUCUUUUGGCCUUAUUUCUAGGAUAUAUAAUUCUUUAUUGUUCUGUAAAUUAAAUAGUUGUUAGACAUUUGACAAAUGACAUGAAACUUUUUCUGAUAUGAAAACUAAAAGAAAGAAAGAAAUUUCAUCUUGAAUGAAAUCGAUCAU